AUACCUUUCUCGGCCUUUUGGCUAAGAUCAAGUGUAGUAUCUGUUCUUAUCAGUUUAAUAUCUGAUACGUGGGCCAUUGGUCCACAUGAUAUUAAAUUAAUUUUUUAAGGGGAGAGCUCGACACAGUAGCUUGCUACUGGGGUUCAGGAGCGUCGCCCAUGCGUUGCACUACAGCAAGGGCCCGGCGCACCCUCC
rnacentral:snRNA from 1 species